GCGGAUGUAGCUCAGUGGUAGAGUACCCGACUGUGGCUCGGGUUACCUGGGUUCGAUUCCCAGCUUCCGCU
rnacentral:tRNA from 1 species